rnacentral:rRNA from 1 species
ACGAACGCUGGCGGCGCGCCUAACACAUGCAAGUCGAACGAGCGAGAGAGAGCUUGCUUUCUCAAGCGAGUGGCGAACGGGUGAGUAACGCGUGAGGAACCUGCCUCAAAGAGGGGGACAACAGUUGGAAACGACUGCUAAUACCGCAUAAGCCCACAGGUCGGCAUCGACCAGAGGGAAAAGGAGCAAUCCGCUUUGAGAUGGCCUCGCGUCCGAUUAGCUAGUUGGUGAGGUAACGGCCCACCAAGGCAACGAUCGGUAGCCGGACUGAGAGGUUGAACGGCCACAUUGGGACUGAGACACGGCCCAGACUCCUACGGGAGGCAGCAGUGGGGAAUAUUGCACAAUGGGGGAAACCCUGAUGCAGCGACGCCGCGUGGAGGAAGAAGGUCUUCGGAUUGUAAACUCCUGUUGUUGAGGAAGAUAAUGACGGUACUCAACAAGGAAGAGACGGCUAACUACGUG